CCUACGGGAGGCUGCAGUGGGGAAUAUUGGACAAUGGGGCAACCCUGAUCCAGCCAUGCCGCGUGUGUGAAGAAGGCCCUCGGGUUGUAAAGCACUUUCAGUGAGGAAGAACGCCUGGUGGUUAAUACCCAUCAGGAAAGACAUCACUCACAGAAGAAGCACCGGCUAACUCCGUGCCAGCAGCCGCGGUAAUACGGAGGGUGCGAGCGUUAAUCGGAAUUACUGGGCGUAAAGCGCGCGUAGGUGGCUUGAUAAGCCGGUUGUGAAAGCCCCGGGCUCAACCUGGGAACGGCAUCCGGAACUGUCAAGCUAGAGUGCAGGAGAGGAAGGUAGAAUUCCCGGUGUAGCGGUGAAAUGCGUAGAGAUCGGGAGGAAUACCAGUGGCGAAGGCGGCCUUCUGGACUGACACUGACACUGAGGUGCGAAAGCGUGGGUAGCAAACAGGAUUAGAUACCCCAGUAGUC
rnacentral:rRNA from 1 species